rnacentral:lncRNA from 1 species
AGCUGUUUAAAAAUUUUUUAGGCUAAGAAAAUAUCAGAGCUCAAAUAAAGUAAUAGUGAUGGAUGAGGAAAAGUCAGGGGGUUUAGUAACCUUUUUCAUCUUGGAGGGGGUAGGGAUGGGAAAAAACAGAACCAUCUAGAUUGGUUAAUUAAGUCAAAUGUCUUCCCACAAAAAUGAAAAACAGAUAAUAUACUUGAGUUAUGUCCCAGCACUUUGGGAAGCCGAGAUGGGCGGAUCACC